rnacentral:rRNA from 1 species
UACGAAGGAUGCAAGCGUUUAUCCGGAUUCAUUGGGUUUAAAGGGAGCGUAGGUGGACUGGUAAGUCAGUGGUGAAAUCUCUGGGCUUAACCCAGAAAUUGCCAUUGAUACUGUAGGGCUUGAGUAUAGUUGCCGUUGGCGGAAUAUGACAUGUAGUGGUGAAAUACAUAGAGAUGUCAUAGAACACCGAUUGCGAAGGCAGCUAACGAAACUAUAACUGACACUGAGGCUCGAAAGUGCGGGGAUCAAACAGG